rnacentral:rRNA from 1 species
CCUACGGGUGGCAGCAGUGGGGGAUAUUGCACAAUGGGGGGAACCCUGAUGCAGCGACGCCGCGUGGGGGAAGGAGGGUUUCGGCGUGUAAAGCCCUAUCGGCAGGGAAGAAGAUGACGGUACCUGGCCAAUAAGCCCCGGCUAACUACGUGCCAGCAGCCGCGGUAAUACGUAGGGGGCAAGCGUUAUCCGGAGUUACUGGGUGUAAAGGGGGCGCAGGCGGGAAUGCAAGCCAGGAGUGAAAGCCCGGGGCCAAACCCCGGGACUGCUCUUGAAACUGCAUGGCUGGAGUACAGGAGGGGCAGGCGGAAUUCCUAGUGUAGCGGUGAAAUGCGUAGAUAUUAGGAGGAACACCGGUGGCGAAGGCGGCCUGCUGGACUGUGACUGACGUUGAGGCCCGAAAGCGUGGGGAGCAAACAGGAUUAGAUACCCUGGUAGUC